CUGACAUUCCUAAACAGAUGGCUGAAGAACAAACCCAGGCUCCAGGCUUUAGUGCUGAGUUUUACUGUAUGGAGCCUGGGAGGUUUCUGAAUUGGUUUCUUUGAGAAAUGAGGGAAGUCCCAGGGAUGGUUCUGCUGUGAGCAGUUCUGCUGGCUGUCCUUCCCAUGCAGCCACAGCCAGGCAGCCAAAGGAUCAGCUUAUCAGAGAGCUUCAGUUUUCUGCUUCUUUAUCUCCUUGGUAUCCUGAGGGCUUCUUAAAAGAAUGAAAUCUGACUAACUUGUCCAAAGUCACACAAGAAACUGGUGGCAGCACAGGGGAUUGAUAUUUAUUGGCAUGGCAGGCCAAAAACCCACUUGGGCAAGAUUCAAACAAACAUCCAGGCCAGCAGCUUCAAGUGCUCUCAUUCACAAGUGAUCAGUCAGAAAUCUCUCUGCUGAGUUUGGUGGCACCGACAUCAAAGGUUGUUUGUUGGCACCUCCACCAUAGUGUCAGUGCCAGUGUGCAGCAGAAGGGGACCACAUCUAUGAACCAUGCUGCAUUAGGAGGUGGGAGUCAGCACUUUUCUUCCAGCAGAUACCAUCCAACCUUGGUCUUCACCAUCCAGAUCUGCAGGUCAGUGCCCCGAAGCAAUGCUCCUCCUUGACUCUGAUAUUUCUACCAGAUGAUCAUUUUAGCUGGUAAAAAAUUUUUCUAACAUGUGAAGAAACAAAGACCUAGCAAACCAAAAUAUAACCAGUGCCCAGCUGCCUGUUUAUCUGGCUGUGCUUUAUUUGCACAGGCUGAAGAACUUCGUGGUGCCAGGAGGGAUGUGAGAAGAAGUUCUUUGUCUCAUGAAUUAUUUUGGCCCAGUCUUCCCCCGGGAGAUAGGACUUGAGAGCAAGAGCUGGCAGCAUGGGUUCUGCUCCCAGCUUUGGCACUGACCUGCUGCGUGACCUUGGACAACUCACUUCACCUCCCCUGAGCUUCUGUUUUCCCUCCUCUUCUUUGUCUGACCUGUUUAUUUGGACUGUCAACUCCUAGAGAAAGGAAUUCAGCCUCCCUGGCAGCUUGAAGAUUGCAUAGCAUGACAGAAGCCCAAUCAGACUCGCUUCUGGGAGGUACUACAGUAAAAAAGUUCAUAAUGAUGACUAGAAACUAGCAUUUGCUAAGCAAUUGUAUGGGAGUUUUUGCUUAUUAAGUGGCAUACAUGAACUAGCAGAACAUCUCUGACAGUUCAGAGAGCUUGUCCAGGGACAACAACUGCUUUUGUUCCUUUUCCAUGGCCACACUGAAGACCAUAUCUACCAGCCCCAUAAAUAUUGACAUCUUCUC